UGGGGGAUAUUGCACAAUGGAGGAAACUCUGAUGCAGCAACGCCGCGUGAGGGAAGAAGGUCUUCGGAUUGUAAACCUCAGUAGUCAGGGACGAAAGAAAUGACGGUACCUGAAGAGUAAGCUCCGGCUAACUACGUGCCAGCAGCCGCGGUAAUACGUAGGGAGCGAGCGUUGUCCGGAUUUACUGGGUGUAAAGGGUGCGUAGGCGGGAUAGCAAGUCAGACGUGAAAUACCGAGGCUUAACUUCGGGGCUGCGUUUGAAACUGUUAUUCUUGAGUGAAGUAGAGGCAGGCGGAAUUCCUAGUGUAGCGGUGAAAUGCGUAGAUAUUAGGAGGGACACCAGUGGCGAAGGCGGCCUGCUGGGCUUUAACUGACGCUGAGGCACGAAAGCAUGGGGAGCAAAC
rnacentral:rRNA from 1 species